CUUCAACGGGUUCUGGCGCGAGCCGGUACCGAAUGACCCACAGGCAGCCACACGGCUUCACCUGGCUCGGGGGAGCUCUGAUUAAACUGGCUACGUGCCAGUUCCAAACCAGGAGGUAGCAGUGCUUAUAACACCUUGUGAUGGAAAAGACUGGACCUCCCUCAGGGCACAAGCAAGAAGAUCCACUAAGGAGAUGGUUCACAGUCAAGGACUGAAUGGUGACUUGAAAUAAGGUGACAGUGGAAAUGCUAUGUUGGUAGGAGUCACACCAGGUACAGUGGUGCACACCCAGAAUCCCUCACCAAGGAGGCCAGGGCAGGAGAACUACCAGAACUUCAACGGACUGGUGUGCCUUCACAUACUGAGACAUAGGUGUUGUGCCUGUCGUGCUAGCACUUGACUUAGUCGAGAGAAUCAUGAGUCACAGCCCGUCUUGAUCUCAAAAAAGGAGGAAGAGAAGAACAGCCACGAUGGUUCAG
rnacentral:lncRNA from 1 species